AGUCGAACGAUGAACCGCUUUCGGGCGGGGAUUAGUGGCGAACGGGUGAGUAACACGUGGGCAAUCUGCCCUGCACUCUGGGACAAGCCCUGGAAACGGGGUCUAAUACCGGAUAUGACUGUCCAUCGCAUGGUGGAUGGUGUAAAGCUCCGGCGGUGCAGGAUGAGCCCGCGGCCUAUCAGCUUGUUGGUGAGGUAGUGGCUCACCAAGGCGACGACGGGUAGCCGGCCUGAGAGGGCGACCGGCCACACUGGGACUGAGACACGGCCCAGACUCCUACGGGAGGCAGCAGUGGGGAAUAUUGCACAAUGGGCGAAAGCCUGAUGCAGCGACGCCGCGUGAGGGAUGACGGCCUUCGGGUUGUAAACCUCUUUCAGCAGGGAAGAAGCGAAAGUGACGGUACCUGCAGAAGAAGCGCCGGCUAACUACGUGCCAGCAGCCGCGGUAAUACGUAGGGCGCAAGCGUUGUCCGGAAUUAUUGGGCGUAAAGAGCUCGUAGGCGGCUUGUCACGUCGGUUGUGAAAGCCCGGGGCUUAACUCCGGGUCUGCAGUCGAUACGGGCAGGCUAGAGUUCGGUAGGGGAGAUCGGAAUUCCUGGUGUAGCGGUGAAAUGCGCAGAUAUCAGGAGGAACACCGGUGGCGAAGGCGGAUCUCUGGGCCGAUACUGACGCUGAGGAGCGAAAGCGUGGGGAGCGAACAGGAUUAGAUACCCUGGUAGUCCACGCCGUAAACGGUGGGCACUAGGUGUGGCAACAUUCCACGUUGUCCGUGCCGCAGCUAACGCAUUAAGUGCCCCGCC
rnacentral:rRNA from 1 species